rnacentral:sRNA from 1 species
CUCCCUCUGCUCCCAGUUGAAUGAGGGUGUUAAUAUUUAUACAACUGAGGCUCCAAAUUUACCAGGAAGCUUCAGUUUCCUAGGUUAAGCCUGGGUAGGCACCUUGGAAUAGAGCCACCCUUCUUUCCCCUUGGACAAGUAGGGCCCAGUCACCUAAUAGUUUGGGGAUUUUGUGGGGUAGAGUAAGUUCUAGAGUGGGAAUGAGUGUGUCCCUGGCCUAAACUACCUGUUCUUGCAGGAGGAGCUGACAAGCACAAGUGUGGAACACAUCAUUGUCAAUCCUAAUGCUGCCUAUGACAAGUUCAAAGACAAGAGAGUGGGGACAAAGGGACUUGAUUUCUCAGAUCGUAUUGGAAAAACCAAGAGGACAGGAUAUGAAUCUGGAGAAUAUGAGAUG